rnacentral:rRNA from 1 species
UACAGAGGGUGCAAGCGUUGUUCGGAAUUAUUGGGCGUAAAGCGCGUGUAGGCGGCUUUGCAAGUCGGGUGUGAAAGCCCUCAGCUUAACUGAGGAAGUGCGCCCGAAACUGCAGAGCUCGAGUACCGGAGAGGAUGGUGGAAUUCCCCAAGUAGAGGUGAAAUUCGUAGAUAUGGGGGAGGAACACCGGUGGCGAAGGCGACCAUCUGGACGGAUACUGACGCUGAGACGCGAAAGCGUGGGUAGCAAACAGG